AGGUAAUUCCCCAUCACAGCAGUCAUUAGUUGCCUGUACAUCUUUGUCUAUGUUUAGAGCCCUGUAAUAGUCUCUGCUUCUGCAUUAGCAUGCAUAUUGAUAGAUUAAAUCAGUAAGAUAUGAGUUUGAAGUUUCCCCCUCCAUGAAAAUGAUAGCUUCGGAAGUGAAAAUUAGUCCAAAUUGGUUAUUUUACAUCAGAAAAAAAAAAGAAAAUUAGUCCAACUUGAAUAUUUUAUAUUGUACACAUAGAUUAAUAUAUAAUUCUUUCCUCCAUAAAUAUGUUCAGUUAUUACAUAUCAUAAAAAUAGCUAAGAUGGAAAAAAAUCUUAGAAGUCUUAAAAAUAUAACAACUGUAGUACAUUUAUGUGCUUCUCUAUAAAAGCCUUAAUAAUCAUGUGUUUCUAUAUAAUUUUUCUUAUUUAACUCCAUGGCAUUUGAAACCCUCUAAGUCAUAAGGUCUAAUUAAAUAUUAAACAUAAUUCUAUUGUGGUAUAAUUAUAUUCAUAUAAAUUUGCAAAAACUAAUAGUAAUCCUCUUAUCCUAUCCUGUUAUGGUCAUCUUUUAAAUGAGGAGUUCUUUAUUAAAACUAAGAACUUAGCUUUAGUGUGACCCUGGGCACUCUAAUCUGAAGGAAUGAUUCAGUUUUCUUCAGUUGCCACCAAUAACUUCCUCUGCCAGAAUAGAAUCAAAAUUACUAACACCGUCAGACAUAGCAUGUAUUCUUUAGUUAUUUUGAACAUAACAUUGAUCACUUGAAAGUGAGUUGAUCAUUUUCUAUGUUCCCACCAAUCUGCUGUUAUGCAGUGACUUCUUAUGAUUUAUUUCAGUAACAGAUUCGGAGGGAUUGUUGAGCGGCGACACACACUUGUCAUAACUCUUUAUCUGUGCUAUAUGAUUUCAAUUUGACAGCAGUAAUUGUUAGCUUUGAAUAUUUAGUACAGUGGAUUCUCAAAAGUUUAUUUAUGAUAAUUUGAUAUAUUUUCCUCUACUUUAUGAAGCUGAGAUAUCUCAGCAUAGAUUUUUGGAAUCCUGUAAGAGAAAUUCUGUCAUUUCUCCUCUGCUCAUAUAUCAAUUAAAUAACUUUAUUUCUAUAAGAAUAGCAAAGAUAAAAUAGAGAGAAAUAACAGUCAAAAAUGAAAUAUCAAAUCAUGAAUACUAAUAAGAGAUUCACAAAUAGAAGAUAGACUUAAAGAAUCUGUUAGGUCACAGUUCUACAAAUUGACAAACUACUAGAAACAAGAAAUAGUCCAUUAACAGAAAGAGAAAAAUAAAUAAAUAAUCUUACCUAUGUCCCAGAGUAAAAAUGCAUAUGAUUAAUGUAUAAAGGUUUAACUUUGAUGUUGGCUAAAAGAAGUUACAUACUAGGGAGAAUCAUAUCAUAUUGCACUUUUCUGCAGGUUGAAAAGAAAUCAAAUAGCAGUAAUUUCAUACAUCAUUCACCCUAUUUCAAGGUAACAGUACAUUAAUUAAGAAGCUGGGAGGCAAAACUAACCGUUUUGCCACAAACAUGAAAGAAGGCCAGGGGUGCUUAAUUUCUAAGCAUCCUCACUUGGAUCUGCAGACAAAAUUAACAGAACAGAAAGUCUGGAGAAAAUCCCAGUUC
rnacentral:lncRNA from 1 species